rnacentral:misc_RNA from 1 species
GCAAACUUGGUCAUUUAGAGGAAGUAAAAGUCGUAACAAGGUCUCCGUUGGUGAACCAGCGGAGGGAUCAUUAUAGAGUUGCAAAACUCCCAACCCUUUGUGAACUUUACCUGUCAUGUUGCUUCGGCAGGCGGCCCCAGGGCGGGGCCUUAAGCCUGUAUUUUUCAGGUGUCUGCCGAAGGACUCAAACUCUAAUUUAUGUGGUUUUUCUGAAUAUUUUACAAAUAAGUCAAAACUUUCAACAACGGAUCUCUUGGUUCUGGCAUCGAUGAAGAACGCAGC